UACGUAGGCAGCGAGCGUUGUUCGGAUUUACUGGGCGUAAAGGGCGCGUAGGCGGCCACCGCAAGUCAGUUGUGAAAUCUCUGGGCUUAACCCAGAACGGUCAGCUGAUACUGCGGGGCUAGAGUGCAGAAGGGGCAACUGGAAUUCUCGGUGUAGCGGUGAAAUGCGUAGAUAUCGAGAGGAACACCUGCGGCGAAGGCGGGUUGCUGGGCUGACACUGACGCUGACAGCGCGAAAGCUAGGGGAGCGAACGGG
rnacentral:rRNA from 1 species